rnacentral:rRNA from 1 species
UACAGAGGCCCCGAGCGUUAAUCGGAAUUACUGGGCUUAAAGGGUGCGUAGGCGGACCAGAAAGUGCUUUGUGAAAGCCCCCGGCUCAACCGGGGAACUGCGGGGCAUACUGCUGGUCUUGAGGCAAGUAAGGGUUGCGAGAACUGUAGGUGGAGCGGUGAAAUGCGUAGAUAUCUGGAGGAACACCGGUGGCGAAGGCGGCAUCCUGGACCGGCAUUGACGCUGAGGCGCGAAAGCUAGGGGAGCAAACGGG